rnacentral:lncRNA from 1 species
CAAAAUAGGUCCAAGGUUGCUGGAUGGUGCCUUCUGAAAAGUCAGCUGGUAGACCCGAGGCUGUUUCAGUAAGGCAGGGCAGUCAGGAGUGAGGGACUCUCCAGCCAGAUGGCUCGGCUCAGAUCCCAGCUCUGGUGCUUGCUAGCUGUGUGAAGAUGAGCUGGGAUUUUAUCUAACUGUGUCUCAUUUCCAUAUCUUUAAAAUGGGUGCUAGCACAACACCUACCUCAUCCACUUAGGAGGAGCUGAUGAGUAUCAAUGAUCCAGAGAGUUCCUGGCCCGCAGCUGGCACACAGUCCACGUUACCGUCAGACAGUGGGGAGAAAAGAGUUUAGUCAUUCUCCUGGUGGGCCGUUCUCACUGCAAUGUUGCUUUUGUUCCACAAGAACACAUCCUCAACUCCCUGGAAGAUGCAACUCCUAAGGAAACUGAGUCCAAUGAUCAAAGGCACUGGCAUUCAGAGGGGACCCACUGAUAAUUGCCGACUACACAGGAGCUGUCUUCCGUAACUCCUCAGGGAGCACCUCGGCCCUACAAAUGCAAAUCCAACAUUCAGCCAGGACCCCCCAUGUGCCAAGUGUCGUGGGAUUCAUGCUUUCGAACCAUCGGUUCCAGUUAAGACUCAUAUAAUGAAACAGAUGGGUUCACAUGAUUUUAGUUUAUAUGGGAAGAAGCUUUAGACUAAAGCAGAGGGAGGUAAACUUACAGGCAAGCAGGAAGGCUUGAAGGCUUGAGUGUUCUUGGAGGCUCUUGGCUGGGUGCAGGCCGACCUUGGGUGAGAGCCCUCGCUCAUUGCCCCGUGACACUGUCCUUCCUGUGGGUUCAAACAGCCUCUUGUUCCUGGUCAAUAUCCUCUGCGCUUCUCUUUGGGGAUUUAGGACAUCACGACAUUCUCCUCAUUGUCCAGGGAAACCAUUCUCGUCUAGAAACAUCAUCGAUUUCUGAAGUUAAAUUGAGACCAGAGUGGAUUCUGCACAUCAGUCUCUCCCCUUUCCCUCUGUGGCUGUGGACUCUGGGAGGGUUGGAGGGAGGUGGUGCCAAUGGCAAAGACCUGCUCUGAUAGGGCGGCUUUUCCACAGCCCUUUCUUAAGCUAUGACUGAGUCUCGGCUCUUUCUUCAGACCUGAGGGAUGUUUAGAGUGGAGGAUGUUUGCAACCAUCGGUCUUCUGUCAUGUUACACUGGAGUUUCGUGGCAGUGACGUGAAUUAAAGAGUAAUAUUUUAGAUUUGAUAUUUUAUUGCUGCAUAAUUUAUUAUAAUUUUUAGUGGUCAAUCUCAGCAUCCUGAUUCAGCUUCAGAGAAGUUUGGAGAGUCUCCCAAAGAAUGAGGAAUGAUUAGCCUACCACAGAAUCUUCUUUUGGAGGCAUGGUGAAAAGCACAUAAAACACAAAUGACAGUUUGUGACUUAUUAUAAAGCAUUCCCUUGUAUAAGUGUGGUGUAGGGUAAUGAAUGAAACCUUGUCCUCACCCCUCGAUGUUCUGCUUCCAAGAUACCACUCCUUCCCCAUCUCCAGAGAUCACCCCUGAUCUGACUGCCAUGGGAAUCUCUGCUCUUUAAAUACACAAUAGGCUUGAGACCCACCCAUUUUUAGAGUCUUUACAAAUAAUUGGUUGUGCAUUGUUUUUUUUUUUUUUUUUUUUGACAGGGUCUUGCUCUGUUACCCAGGCUGGAGUGCAGUGGUGCGAUCUCAGCUCACUUCAGCCUCAACCUACCAGGCUCAAGCAAUCCUCCCACUUCAGCCUUAUGAGCAGCUGUGACUACAGGCAUGCAUCACCAAGCCCAGCUAAUUUUUGUAUUUUUUGCAAAGACAGGGUUUCGCCAUGUUGCUCAGGCUGGUCUCAAACUCCUGGGCUCAAGUGAUCUGCCCGCCUCGGCCUCCCAAAGUGCUGGUAUUACAGGUGUGAGCCACUGUGCCUAGCCUUGGUUGUGUAUUUCUAUGGAUAAAAAUAUAUACACUCAGCAAAUAAAAUAAAA